CAAGGUCUCAUAAUAUCCCUGACUAACUGUCCUUUUCACUGACCAACUGCCAUCCUCUUCUAGAAUCUUCCCUCGGGUCCCUGUAACGUUCCUGAUGUAACUGCCCAUCAGUAAGUGGCCACUACGACCUCCAGAGCCCUGACUAACUGCUGGCCUGUCACUGACCAUCUGACAUCCUCUUCUAGAACCUUUUCGCUGCCCCUCUGUAACUUCCCUGGCUAAAUGGCAGCUUUUAAUUGACCACCUACUAGCCUCUUCCAGAACAUUCCCUCACGACCCUACAAUUGCUCUGACUUCCAGUCUGGUGUUGACUGACACCUUCUUCCAAAAGAUUCCCUUUAGUUCCAGUAACAUCUCAGACUAACUUCCAGUCUGUCAAUGACCAUGUGCCACCCCCUUCCAGAUCCUUCCCCCCGGGGUUCUGUAAUCCCCAUGACUGACAGUCCAUCCGUCACCAACCGUCACUUGUCUUCCAGUGAAUUUAGAUAAGUCUGGGGAGUGGCCAUACCAGUUCCUCAGACGGGCCAAACUGAUGCCUCAGCCAGGUGUAAACAAGAACCUGCUAAGUGGCCUAAGUGGAAAGGGGGCAGGGGCAAAAGUCUACAUCUUAGCAAAGAAACAGCAUGGAGUUUCCUUCCACACAGACUGCUUGUUGCCUUGCUCCUAGCUGGAAACGUUUUUCAAGAGGGGGACUGGAACUAUAAAAAGAAGGGGCAGACACUCCUCUCUCUUUCCCUGCCUAUCACAUUCUGUGCACCUGAGAAGACACAGCAGCCACUGGACUCCGGGGGAGGGGUCAUGACCUAAAGAGUUUGGUCAGUAAGACUGCUGAAAGCACAUGGUGAGAAAAUUUUGCUUUGAAUCUAAUAUAGUUUGUUAGGCACCA